CCUACGGGUGACAGCAGUGAGGAAUAUUGGUCAAUGGGCGGGAGCCUGAACCAGCCAAGCCGCGUGAAGGAAGAAGGCGCCAAGCGUCGUAAACUUCUUUUGUCGGGGAACAAAGGGCGCCACGUGUGGCGUUGUGAGUGUCCCCGAAGAAAAAGCAUCGGCUAACUCCGUGCCAGCAGCCGCGGUAAUAGGGGGGAUGCGAUCGUUAUCCGGAUUUAUUGGGUUUAAAGGGGGCGUAGGCGGUCCGGAAAGUCAGCGGGAACAGCCCGGGGCUCAACCCCGGCGAGCCGUUGAAACUGUCGGACUAGAGACGGCGAGAGGGACGCGGAAUGCGCGGUGUAGCGGUGAAAUGCAUAGAUAUCACGCAGAACUCCGAUUGCGAAGGCAGCGUACCGGCGCCGGACUGACGCUGAGGCACGAAAGCGUGGGUAUCGAACAGGAUUAGAUACCCGAGUAGUC
rnacentral:rRNA from 1 species